UAUGGGAGGGCAGGGAUUGCUCCCGGCCUCUUCCAGAGCGCGGCCACGGCCUCGCGGGGCCUGGACGGCGCAGGCGAGGCUGCGGAGGCGAAGGGGACGGCGGAACCAGCUCCGCCCCGGCGACCCGGCCGGCAGCGGAGCCCGGCGUCGAUUCCUCCCCGCGGCUGAGGCGCUCGUGGGCUCAAGGCCGCAGGGCCUCCAGGGGCGGCCAAAGGAAAGGGUGGCAGGACCCAAGUCUAGUGGAAAUCAGCAGCCAUGUCAUGAGGACACUUAGGCAGCCUGUACUGAGGCUUUCCACCAACAGAUAUGUGAGUCAUCUUGGAAGCCAGUCCUCCAGUCCUGCUCAAGGCUUUGGCUGACAGCAACCCGUGCCAACAUCCUGACUGCAACUUCAGGAAACCCUGAGCUAUGCCUGCCCAGCUAAGCCACUCCUCGUUUCCUGACUCUCAGAAACUGAUCUACUAGACCAGGGGUCCCCAAUCCUGGCCUGUUAGGAACCAGGCCGCACAGCAGGAGGUGAGCGGCAGGCAAGUGAGCGAAGCUUCAUCUGUAUUUACAGCCGCUCCCCAUCGCUUGCAUUACUGCCUGAGCUCUGUCUCUUGUCAGCAUUAUGCUUCAUCCCUACAUACCUUACAUGCUCCCUCAGAAACAUGGAUAUACAAACGCAGGUUACCAACUGACUGAUGCACCUCUGGUUCUUCUUUCCGGAAGGAAGAAAGAAGAGGAGGAAACAGUGGCCUAGUAGGCAUCUUCUUCCCUCUCACUGACCAAGACUGUGUGUUGCAUGACUACCCCCUGCUACAAGGGAGCUGGAAAAUCAAUUCUUUUCUUUUAUAUUCUCCACAUUAGAGAUAAGAAAGGGAGAAAGGAGUUAAAAAUGGACUCUGAGCUAGCCAACCCACAGUAUCAAUCACAAAAAAAUGCCCAAAGAACUUUCAGAGAUACAUAAACCCCCAAAGAAAGGAGAAAUUCUAAGGAACCCUACCACCUUACCAACAAUACACUUCACAGAUGAUUUUCUCUCCCAACAUAAAACUUGCAAACUUGGGCUUCCCUGGUGGCACAGUGGUUGAGAAUCCGCCUGCCAAUGCAGGGGACACGGGUUCGAGCCCUGGUUUGGGAAGAUCCCACAUGCCACGGAGCAGCUAGGCCCGUGAGCCACAAUUACUGAGCCUGCGCAUCUGCAGCCUGUGCUCCGCAACAAGAGAGGCCGCGAUAAUGAGAGGCCCGCGCACCGCAAUGAAGAGUGGCCCCCACUUGCUGCAACUAGAGAAAGCCCUCGCACAGAAACGAAGACCCAACACAGCCAUAAAGAAAGAAAGAAAGAAAGAAAGAAUCAUGGUCAA